CGCGCGAUCAGCGACGCAAUAAAUUUCGACACUAUGGACGGUUAUCCUGACAGAAAGUAAUUUGUCCAUUAAUUCUGUUUUGUGUUUGUUUCAUUGUGCGAGAAUGUGUUAUCAAGGGAAGAAGGAACAUUAGUGUGAAUAAAUUUAACGUCAGAGUUCGUUCGCUGUGAAAUACGAAGCCUGAUACGCAGCCGGCGUUUAGUCCUUCGAGCUACAAGGUGGAAAGUAUACACGAAAAGUGGGGGGACUAUUGAUGCAGUUCACUGCGUGAGAAAGUGAACAUCGAUCGAGAAUGGAAUAUCUAGAUGCUAGGAGCAUGCGUUCGUAAAAAGAGAAGCUGUGGCACGUUGACCAUUCGGAAUCGGAAUUUUCUACACUACAAUCGUAAGAAAACAAUGCCAGUGAAAGAAUGACUGCAUCGACUACAACUUCUCUUCAAAUAUUGGAUCAACAUCUAGAUUGAAGACAAUGUAUAGUGAGUUUCAAUCCUUUAUUUACUUUUAUUUUCUGCAAUUUCGUUGUCAAUAAUAUGCAUGCCGCUUUAUAUAAAGUAUCGACACACGAC